GAUGAACGCUGGCGGCGUGCUUAACACAUGCAAGUCGAACGAAGCACUUUAUUUGAUUUCCUUCGGCACUGAUUAUUUUUUGACGGAGUGGCGGACGGGUUAGUAACGCGUGGGUAACCUUCCUUGUACAGGGGGAUAACAGUUGGAAACGGCUGCUAAUACCGCAUAAGCGCACAGCACCUCAUGAUGCGGUGUAAAAAACUCCGGUGGUAUAAGAUGGACCCGCGUUGGAUUAGCUAGUUGGUGAGGUAACGGCCCACCAAGGCGACGAUCCAUAGCCGAUCGGAGAGGGUGACCGGCCACAUUGGGACUGAGACACGGCCCAAACUCCUACGGGAGGCAGCAGUGGGGAAUAUUGCACAAUGGGCGAAAGCCUGAUGCAGCGACGCCGCGUGAGCGAAGAAGUAUUUCGGUAUGUAAAGCUCUAUCAGCAGGGAAGAUAAUGACGGUACCUGACGAAGAAGCACCGGCUAACUACGUG
rnacentral:rRNA from 1 species